rnacentral:rRNA from 1 species
UAGGGAAUCUUCGGCAAUGGGGGGAACCCUGACCGAGCAACGCCGCGUGAGUGAAGAAGGUUUUCGGAUCGUAAAGCUCUGUUGUUAAGGAAGAACGAGUGUGAGAAUGGAAAGUUCAUACUGUGACGGUACUUAACCAGAAAGUGACGGCUAACUACGUGCCAGCAGCCGCGGUAAUACGUAGGUCCCGAGCGUUGUCCGGAUUUAUUGUGCGUAAAGCGAGCGCAGGCGGUUAGAUAAGUCUGAAGUUAAAGGCAGUGGCUCAACCAUUGUAGGCUUUGGAAACUGUUUAACUUGAGUGCAGAAGGGGAGAGUGGAAUUCCAUGUGUAGCGGUGAAAUGAGUAGAUAUAUGGAGGAACACCGGUGGCGAAAGCGGCUCUCUGGUCUGUAACUGACGCUGAGGCUCGAAAGCGUGGGGAGCGAACAGG